CCGCAGAGAACUUAGCUUUGCCAAGGGGCCCAUGUGUGCCUCAUCACCCUCGACUUGGUGCCCAUGACCUUUUUCCUUUGUUUCUCCUCAUCACUUUCCCAAUAUCUGCAAAUAAAAGGCAUUCCUUCUCUGCUUCGAAUUUGUCAUUCCUCUUUCUUACCUUCUCCUUGGAGUUUUUCAUACAUCAAUGGGAAACGUGUUCUCAGUCUCAAUCCCUACCAACGACAUCGCUGGUUGUUGUGAUUGCACUGCUGCUCGAGCAAAUUACAUAUGCAAGCUUGCAGAAAAUCGGGUUACUUUGAGAACAGAGCUUCAAAAAUUAAGGGAGCUGAAGAACGAUGUGAAUAGGAAGGUGGAUGUGGCUGAGAGACAACAGAUGAAGCGUCUGGAUCAAGUACAAGGCUGGCUUUCCAGGGUGGAAGCCAUGGAAACUGAAGUCGGUCAACUGAUUGGAGAUGGUGCGGAGACCAUUGAGGAGAAACGAUUUCGUGGUUGUUGCCAUCCCAAGCAUUGCAUCUCCAGCUACACGUUGGGAAAAAAAGUGGCCAGGAAGCUACAAGAUACGGCUACUCUGAUGAGCGAAGGGCGUAAUUUUGAGGUGGUGGCUGAUAUUGUACCUCCAGCUCCUGUAGAGGAAAUACCCGGCCGACCCACUGUGGGCUUGGAAUCAACAUUUGACAAAGUUUGGAGGAGUCUCGAAGAAGAACAUGUAGGGAUGAUCGGCUUAUAUGGGUUGGGGGGCGUUGGGAAGACCACCCUCUUGACACAAAUCAACAAUCAUUUCCUUAAAACAUCCCACAAUUUUGAUGUCGUAAUUUGGGUAGUGGUUUCAAAAACUCCAAAUCUAGGGCGGGUACAAAACGAGAUUUGGGAGAAGGUGGGAUUCUGUGAUGAUAAAUGGAAAAGCAAAAGCCGCCAUGAGAAAGCCAAAGAAAUCUGGAGAGCCUUGUGCAAAAAGAGGUUUGUGAUGUUGUUGGAUGACAUGUGGGAGCAAAUGGAUCUGUUAGAAGUGGGAAUUCCACCUCCUGACCAACAAAAUAAGUCCAAGCUGAUAUUCACCACUCGAUCUCAGGACUUGUGCGGGGCAAAUGGGAGCUCACAAGAAGAUCCAAGUGAAAUCUUUGACAUGGAAGGAUUCGUGGGAUCUGUUUCAAAAAUAUGUGGGAAAGGACGUCCUUAAUUCUGAUCCAGAAAUAUUUGAGCUGGCUGAAAUGGUUGCAAAAGAGUGUUGCGGUUUGCCACUGGCGAUAAUUACCAUAGGGCGAGCCAUGGCUUCUAAAGUGACACCCCAAGAUUGGAAGCAUGCAAUUAGAGUACUACAAACAUGUGCUUCAAAUUUUCCAGGUACCUUUAGUUCGGGCGAGGAGUAAUGACUAGGCGGGAAAGUUGGUCAUCAUUAGGAUUUUUCUUAGGAUGUUAUUUUUGAACAUUGUUAGCUUAUAAGUUUAUGUUCAUUUAGUUUAUUUAGUUUUUGGAAGCUAUUUAGAUAUUGAGCUUUUAAAUAUAUUUUUUUUAUGAUAGAUUGAAGUUGAGAUAUGGAGAUUAUAAAAAUUCAUUAGUACUUGAUUUAUUGAGUUG